rnacentral:rRNA from 1 species
GACGAACGCUGGCGGCGUGCUUAACACAUGCAAGUCGAGCGGUAAGGCCCUUUCGGGGGUACACGAGCGGCGAACGGGUGAGUAACACGUGGGUGACCUGCCCUCAGCUCUGGGAUAAGCCUGGGAAACCGGGUCUAAUACUGGAUAUGACUCCAUGACGCAUGUUGUGGGGUGGAAAGCCUUGUGCGGCUGAGGAUGGGCCCGCGGCCUAUCAGCUUGUUGGUGGGGUGANGGCCUACCAAGGCGACGACGGGUAGCCGGCCUGAGAGGGCGACCGGCCACACUGGGACUGAGACACGGCCCAGACUCCUACGGGAGGGCGAGCAGUGGGGAAGUCUUGCGCAAUGGGCGAAAGCCUGACGCAGCGACGCCGCGUGAGGGAGUGACGG